GGAUGCCGGCGAGCGGCGGACGGGUGAGUAAUGCCUAGGAAUCUGCCUGGUAGUGGGGGAUAACGUUCGGAAACGGACGCUAAUACCGCAUACGUCCUACGGGAGAAAGUGGGGGAUCUUCGGACCUCACGCUAUCAGAUGAGCCUAGGUCGGAUUAGCUAGUUGGUGAGGUAAUGGCUCACCAAGGCGACGAUCCGUAACUGGUCUGAGAGGAUGAUCAGUCACACUGGAACUGAGACACGGUCCAGACUCCUACGGGAGGCAGCAGUGGGGAAUAUUGGACAAUGGGCGAAAGCCUGAUCCAGCCAUGCCGCGUGUGUGAAGAAGGUCUUCGGAUUGUAAAGCACUUUAAGUUGGGAGGAAGGGCAUUAACCUAAUACGUUAGUGUUUUGACGUUACCAACAGAAUAAGCACCGGCUAACUUCGUGCCAGCAGCCGCGGUAAUACGAAGGGUGCAAGCGUUAAUCGGAAUUACUGGGCGUAAAGCGCGCGUAGGUGGUUCAGCAAGUUGGAGGUGAAAUCCCC
rnacentral:rRNA from 1 species